AUUGAACGCUGGCGGCAGGCCUAACACAUGCAAGUCGAACGAGUGGCGGACGGGUGAGUAAUGUCUGGGAAAAUGCCUGAUGGAGGGGGAUAACUACUGGAAACGGUAGCUAAUACCGCAUACCAUCGGAUGUGCCCAGAUGGGAGUAGCGAGUAGGUGGGGUAAAGGCUCACCUAGGCGACGAUCCCUAGCUGGUCUGAGAGGAUGACCAGCCAAACUGGAACUGUGACCAGGUCCAUACUCCUACGGUAGGCAGCUGUGGGGAAUAUUGCACCAGGGGCGCAAGCCUGAUGUAGCCAUGCCGCGUGUAUGAAGAAGGCCUUCGGGUUGUAAAGUACUUUCAGCGGGGAGGCGUUACCCGCAGAAGAAGCACCGGCUAACUCCGUGCCAGCAGCCGCGGUAAUAC
rnacentral:rRNA from 1 species